UCGGGAAUAUUGGACAAUGGGGGCAACCCUGAUCCAGCAAUACCGCGUGUGUGAAGAAGGCCUGCGGGUUGUAAAGCACUUUCGCUAGGGACGAAGAUGACGGUACCUAGAGAAGAAGCACCGGCUAACUCCGUGCCAGCAGCCGCGGUAAUACGGAGGGUGCAAGCGUUAAUCGGAAUUACUGGGCGUAAAGCGCACGUAGGUGGUUUAUUAAGUCAGAUGUGAAAUCCCUGGGCUCAACCUAGGCAGGUCAUCUGAUACUGGUAGACUAGAAUGUGGGAGAGGGAAGUGGAAUUUCCGGUGUAGCGGUGAAAUGCAUAGAGAUCGGAAGGAACAUCAGUGGCGAAGGCGACUUCCUGGACCAACAUUGACACUGAGGUGCGAAAGCGUGGGUAGCAAA
rnacentral:rRNA from 1 species